CUCGCUAUCUUCUCUCUUAUUUCUUCUCGUUCUCGACCUUUACACAUCGCUUCUCUCUAAAACUCUCUCCCUCCUCUUUUCUAUAUCCAGACCUCCUCCUCGCUUCUCUCUCUUCUACCACUCUCAUUUCCUUUCUUAUUAUAAGCUUUUGUUGCUGUGGGAACUUACAUCAUCAAACACAGACACAAACCCACAUUGUAGUGAGAGAGAAAUGGAGCUUCAACAUUUUAGCCAUGAACAUCCAUUGAUACUCGGUGAAGUGAACGAUGAUGGUGAGGCAAUUGUCUGCAACGUGUGUUGGGAAAACAUCUUUGGUUCUGCAUUCUGUUGCAAAAAUUGUUUAUUUUUUAUGAACAAAUUUUGUGCUGAAUUUCCAGAGGAGAUGAAUCGCCCGAUCCACGCCCAUUCCCUUACGCUCCAACAUUCAGGGUCUUCUAGACGUUGUGAUGUUUGUGACGACAAUAUGUACGGAUUCACCUAUCAAUGUUCUCCUUGCUCUGUUUUGUUUUUUGUUUUUUUAAUCUUCACUCUUCUCUCAGUUCCACUUUGAGAGAGAGAAAGUGAAAUCUUAGAGAGAGCGAGAGAGUGAGUGAGUGGUGAGUAAUGGCAAUGGCAGUCUCGAAGAAGUGGUUUUCUUUGAGUUCUUGCUUCUUCUCGUUCUGUUGUUCGUCGAAGUAGUGGUGAUAACACGAACAGACAACAACUCUGCUCCCGGGAAUGUUGAAACAGACAAGUUACAGAGCUCCAACAACUCAGAUGAUGGCCAGAGAAAAUCACAGUGGUGAGUAUGUGAUUUGGUCAGAGAAAUUUGGGAAUUUCGCUGAUUUGGAGAGAAUUUCUUUGUGAA